UCCUGAGGAUAAAGCCGAGAGGCGGUCGGGGACGGGCAUGCGUCCCAUUAGAUGGUAGGCGGGGUGACGGCCCACCUAGUCACGAUGGGUAGGGGAUCUGAGAGGACGGUCCCCCACACUGGUACUGAGACACGGACCAGACUCCUGCGGGAGGCAGCAGUAAGGGAUAUUGGUCAAUGGGCGGAAGCCUGAACCAGCCAUGCCGCGUGAGGGAAUGAGGCCCUACGGGUCGUGAACCUCUUUUAUUCGGGGACAAGGACGCGGUCGGGAACCGUGUUUGAGGGUACCGAAGGAAUAAGCGUCGGCUAACUCCGUGCCAGCAGCCGCGGUAAUACGGAGGACGCGAGCGUUAUCCGGAUUCAUUGGGUUUAAAGGGUGCGCAGGCGGCUCGGCAAGUCAGCGGUGAAAGCCCGGGGCCCAACCCCGGAAGUGCCGUUGAUACUGUCGGGCUGGAAUGCGGUCGAGGCGGGCGGAACGUGGCGUGUAGCGGUGAAAUGCGUAGAUAUGCCACAGAACGCCGAUAGCGGAGGCAGCUCGCCAGGCCUGCAUUGACGCUCGGGCACGAAAGCGUGGGGAUCGA
rnacentral:rRNA from 1 species